rnacentral:rRNA from 1 species
UAAGGAAUAUUGCGCAAUGGACGAAAGUCUGACGCAGCGACGCCGCGUGGGGGAUGAAGGUCUUCGGAUUGUAAACCCCUUUCGGGAGGGAAGAUGGAGUGGGUAACCACUUGGACGGUACCUCCAGAAGCAGCCACGGCUAACUUCGUGCCAGCAGCCGCGGUAAUACGAAGGUGGCAAGCGUUGUUCGGAUUCACUGGGCGUACAGGGAGCGUAGGCGGUUAGGUAAGCCCUCCGUGAAAUCUCCGGGCCUAACCCGGAAAGUGCAGAGGGGACUGCUUGGCUAGAGGAUGGGAGAGGAGCGCGGAAUUCCCGGUGUAGCGGUGAAAUGCGUAGAGAUCGGGAGGAAGGCCGGUGGCGAAGGCGGCGCUCUGGAACAUUACUGACGCUGAGGCUCGAAAGCGUGGGGAGCAAACA